rnacentral:rRNA from 1 species
UACAGAGGUCUCAAGCGUUGUUCGGAAUUAUUGGGCGUAAAGGGCGCGUAGGCGGUGCGGUAAGUCACCUGUGGAAAUCCCCGGGCUUAACCUGGGAACUGCAUUGGUGACUGCAUCGCUCGAGUAUGGCAGAGGGGGGUAGAAUUCCACGUGUAGCAGUGAAAUGCGUAGAGAUGUGGACGGAAUACCGAGUGGCGAAGGCAGCCCCCUGGGUCAAUACUGACGCUCAUGGCACGAAAGCGUGGGGAGCAAACAGG